UGAAUACGAGACGCUAAGGCGUCGAAGUAGUGUAUGUCAUACUUCCAAGAAAAGCUUGCACUGUCAUAGAUAAAAAACGCCUGUACCAUAACCGACACAGGUGGGUAGGUAGAGUAUACUAAGGGGCGCGAGAUAACUCUCUCUAAGGAACUCGGCAAAAUAACUCCGUAACUUCGGGAGAAGGAGUGCCUUAUUCUUAAGGUUGCAAUAACAAGAUCCAAGCAACUGUUUAUCAAAAACACAGGUCUCCGCUAAGUCGUAAGACGAUGUAUGGGGGCUGACGCCUGCCCAGUGCCAGAAGGUUAAAGAAGCUGGUUAGCAUUUGCGAAGCUAGUAACUGAAGCCCUGGUGAACGGCGGCCGUAACUAUAACGGUCCUAAGGUAGCGAAAUUCCUUGUCGGGUAAGUUCCGACCCGCACGAAAGGCGUAAUGAUUUGGAUACUGUCUCGGAGAGGGGCUCGGUGAAAUAGACUUGUCUGUGAAGAUGCGGACUACCUGCACCAGGACAGAAAGACCCUAUGGAGCUUUACUGUAACUUGAAAUUGAAAUUGGACUUUAUUCGCGCAGUAUAGGUGGGAGGCGUUGAUUAUAAUCUUGCGGGAUUAUUGGAGCCAUUAGUGAGAUACCACUCUUGUAAUGUUAGAUUUCUAACUUUGAAUCAUUAUCUGGUCAAAGAACAGUUUCAGGCGGGCAGUUUGACUGGGGCGGUCGCCUCCCAAACGGUAACGGAGGCGUACAAAGGUUUCCUCUGAACGGUUAGAAAUCGUAUCUAGAGUGUAAAGGCAUAAGGAAGCUUGACUGUGAGACCUACAAGUCGAGCAGGGACGAAAGUCGGUCUUAGUGAUCUGACGGUACUGAGUGGAAAGGCCGUCACUCAACGGAUAAAAGUUACUCUAGGAUAACAGGCUGAUCUCCCCCAAGAGUUCACAUCGACGGGGAGGUUUGGCACCUCGAUGUCGGCUCAUCGCAUCCUGGGGCGGUAGUACGUCCCAAGGGUUGGGCUGUUCGCCCAUGAAAGCGGUACGCGAGCUGGGUUCAGAACGUCGUGAGACAGUUCGGUCCAUAUCCGGUGUAGGCGUUAGAAUAUUGAGAGGAGCCUUCUUUAGUACGAGAGGACCGAGAAGGACAUACCUCUGGUGUACCAGUUAUCGUGCCAACGGUAGACGCUGGGUAGCUAUGUAUGGAGUGGAUAACCGCUGAAAGCAUCUAAGUGGGAAGCCCACCUCAAGAUAAGUAUUCUCAGC
rnacentral:rRNA from 1 species